rnacentral:tRNA from 1 species
GUUGUGGCUCAGGGGUAGAGUGCUAGCCUAGGACAGAUGAGGGCUGGGUUCGAUUCUCAGCACCACA